UACGUAGGGGGCAAGCGUUGUCCGGAAUCAUUGGGCGUAAAGAGCUCGUAGGCGGUGUGUCGCGUCGGCCGUGAAAACCUGCAGCUUAACUGUGGGCUUGCGGUCGAUACGGGCAUCACUGGAGUUCGGCAGGGGAGACUGGAAUUCCUGGUGUAGCGGUGAAAUGCGCAGAUAUCAGGAGGAACACCGGUGGCGAAGGCGGGGUCUCUGGGCCGAUACUGACGCUGAGGAGCGAAAGCGUGGGGAGCGAACAGG
rnacentral:rRNA from 1 species